GAUAUUCUCAAAUCAAGUUCUCAUUUCUGCCUCUGGCAUCUCACUGCAACAGUACCAGACAUUGAUAUAGUCUCGAUAACUUUCAAAAGCUUUCUUUGUACAUCGUCGGGUCGGAUCUGUGCAAUUAUUUUGUGGGUUUAAAAAUGCUUCUCUACCUAAAUGUAAGCUCCUAGAGGGAAGAACUUUGUCUAUCUUGCCUACUUUUGUAUCUUCAGAAUUCAGAAACGUGUCUGAAACAUUAAAUGGAUAAACACAGGAAAAAUCUCACAUUUUGAAAGGUCAGAGAAGUUUCAAUUGACUACUUAUGGAAGAAGUGGAGGAAAGUGAGGAUCUCCAGAACUUACAAAAGGCUAGUGGCUCUGUAUGGCAAGGAAGAACCACCACCAAACAGUUUGAUGUACAGAGUUGGAGAUGAACAAAUUUUGUACUGAGAGAAGGAUGGAGAUAGUGUAUAUAAAAGAAAUACAAGGCCUCCCUUUGUCUGUUCAGACAAGCUUGGCUUGGAAAAGCUAAACUCAUAAAUAGAUGCUUAUUUAUUAAAUUCUCUUACAAUU
ensembl:lncRNA novel transcript